UACAGAGGGUGCAAGCGUUGCUCGGAUUUACUGGGCGUAAAGCGUACGCAGACGGCUUGGUAGGUCGGAUGUGAAAGCCCCGGGCUCAACCCGGGAAUUGCAUCCGAAACCCCUUGGCUAGAGUGUGGGAGAGGGAAGCGGAAUUCCUGGUGUAGAGGUGAAAUUCGUAGAUAUCAGGAGGAACACCGGCGGCGAAGGCGGCUUCCUGGCCCAUUACUGACGUUCAGGUACGAAAGCGUGGGGAGCAAACAGG
rnacentral:rRNA from 1 species